AUGGACGGCGCCGGCGCAGGAGGGGCGUACGUCGCGCGCACGGCGGAGGAGGUCUUCCGCGACCUCCGCGGCCGCCGCGCCGGCAUGAUCAAGGCCCUCACCGAAGAUGUGGACAAGUUCUUCAAGCUCUGCGACCCUGAAAAGGAGAACUUGUGCCUUUAUGGAUAUCCCAAUGAGACAUGGGAAGUGACCUUGCCAGCUGAGGAAGUGCCCCCAGAGAUCCCUGAACCAGCAUUAGGAAUCAACUUCGCAAGGGAUGGAAUGAAUGAGAAGGAUUGGUUGGCGCUAGUUGCAGUUCACAGUGAUUCCUGGUUACUGUCCGUCGCAUUCUACUUUGGAGCCCGCUUUGGCUUCGACAAAGAGAAUAGGAGGCGACUGUUCAACAUGAUAAACAACUUGCCCACUAUAUACGAGGUAGUGACAGGAAUCGCCAAGAAGCAGUCCAAGGAAAAGACUCCCAACAGCAGUAGCAAGAGCAGCAAGCCCAGUAUGAAAGUGCUCUCGAGAGCCGAGCCCCGUGCAAAGGCCAAGGUGCCAGCCCCCAAGGACGAGGAGGAGAGCGGCGAGGACGAGGGCGACGAGGAGGAGGAGGAGCACGACAACACCCUGUGCGGGACCUGCGGCACCAACGACGGCAAGGACGAGUUCUGGAUCUGCUGCGACAACUGCGAGAAGUGGUACCACGGCAAGUGCGUCAAGAUCACGCCCGCCCGGGCGGAGCACAUCAAGCACUACCGGUGCCCGGAGUGCACCAACGGCGGCUCCAACAGCAACAAGAGGGUCAAGACAUGA
rnacentral:rRNA from 1 species